UACGAAGGGGACUAGCGUUGUUCGGAAUCACUGGGCGUAAAGCGCACGUAGGCGGAUUGUUAAGUCAGGGGUGAAAUCCUGGAGCUCAACUCCAGAACUGCCUUUGAUACUGGCGAUCUCGAGUCCGGGAGAGGUGAGUGGAACUGCGAGUGUAGAGGUGAAAUUCGUAGAUAUUCGCAAGAACACCAGUGGCGAAGGCGGCUCACUGGCCCGGUACUGACGCUGAGGUGCGAAAGCGUGGGGAGCAAACAGGG
rnacentral:rRNA from 1 species